UUUUUCCUUCUUGUGGCCGAAAAUAGAGAAAGAAAGGGGAGACAAAAACCUCAAGUUCUAGCCUUAAUAUCUUGCUUGAUUCGUGAGAAAAACAAAGAAAAAUCCUAAUUUACUCCAUAGAUCUUUGAAACAAGUGCGGAAGAGAGCUUUUGGUGAAGUUCUUGGAGAAAGAAAGACCUUGAUUUGCUUUCCAUCUUAGGGUUUGAGGUAAAAAUACUAGGAACCAUCUCUUUCUUCUUUUAUCUUGAAAUUUAAUAUAUGAAGCAAAAGAAGCUAAAGGAAGCAUACGUAUGGAAGAUUUCAUGGUUUUGUUAAGUUUUAUUGAAAUUUUCAAUUUUGAUGCAAGAUAUAUGUAGUUUAGCUUAGAGCUUUAUAUAUGUGAAAUUUUGCUAGAUUUCCUGUUUAGAACAUAUAUCGAAUACCCUAUGAUAUGUUAUUUUGAUUGUUAGUGGUUUUACCAUGAAAAUAGGAUUGAAAUUGGAGGGUUAACUUGAGGAAUUUCUGGGACAAGUUUCUGAAAUUUUUUCCUUGUUGGUCAAGUUAGAGAGAGUGAGAGUUGAGGGGUAAUUUAGAGUGAUUUGAACCUACUUUACUCAAAAUUACUUGAGAACACCUUGAUUUUUACAUACAAGUUGGAUUUUAGCCAAAACCAAGCAAUUUAAAAGAAGGAAAGUAAUGAUUGCCCAAAUAUGUUUUGUAGUUAGAUGUGUCCAGUUUUAAACUAGUGAUUUGUGUCACUUUUCUUUAAAAAGUCGUACCUAUAUUUACUAUAUAUUACGCCAUCUUGUGCUUGCGGUCUUGAGUUACCUAAGUUACAUUUACGUGGUUUUCCUUUGAUUUUUACAAGUAAAACUUAUGUAUUUUGAAAAUCUAUACUGAAAGUUUUCAUAGCCUCUUGCUAAACGAUUUCUGGUCGCAGAUUUCGAGAGUGGCCAGGAGGCAAAGCCUGAGCUUGACAUUGAUAGACCUUAAUUGGUUGAUGAGUGUUACAAAUUGCAUGAUAGAACUUGCCACUUGAUUGAAAUACUCUCUUGUUACAAUUGGAAAAUACUUAUUUGAUUGGACGAGUGUGUACUUUAUCAUGCUUACCCUAACUUGACUAAAGUAGUGUGCACUAUUUGCAAGUGAAUUGGUAUUCAUGGUUGUGACUUGAAAGUAACUGCCUGGGAUCCCAAAUCCCAUCAACUAGUUAGUCGAAUCGAGCCAACAAGGGUUUGGUCGAGGAGAUUGAUGAACCAUGGGUACUGUUUACUGUUUAUUUCACUGGAUUCGGUCUACUGAAUUUGGUAUACUCAAGUAUUAUCUCUACUGUUAUCUUUGGACUUCGGACCCGAUAGGGGGUUGAUCAGUAGAUAGAGAUUGGAGAUAAGCGGUGCUCUACUGGACUUGUUACUAUAUGUUCAUAGUUGAUGGAGUAUCAACAGAUCCUGGAUAAGCUGUUGCCGAACUAGCUCGCAAGAGCAAAAUUUAUCCUUAUGCAUGAAAAAGUUAAUUGCCUAACUGACUUGUUUACUCGAAAUGUUAAUGUCUACUCUUGUGAACUUUUACUUUCUUCGUUUUGAGAUUACAAUAUAUAUAUAUAACUGCCAACUUGCUACUUUUUUUGUAUGUUAUCUUGGAACCUUACUGGGCGAUAGCUCACUCCAUUAGUUUGUUUUUCUUACAGGGGGUGAGAACGUGGGCUUGUGAAUUGAAGAAAGCUGGCAUUUUAUUUUAGGUCCCUUGUCUUUUGAAGAAGGCUAGCAUUUUGUUCUUGUGUUCUUCUAGUUUUAGUUGUUUGACUUGAGGUUGAAUCUCUUGUUAUCUUAUGGGUUUGUAUGAGAAUUUGAUGACCACGAAUGUAUAUAUCUAAGUUUUGAAAUUGCUAUUGCUUUUGUUAUCGAGACUCUUAUAUUGUAUUGGGACUUGUGCGUGAAACCUGGGAAGAGUUAGGCUGGCAGUCCGCCAAAUCCUAAGGUAUGCCCUAC
rnacentral:lncRNA from 1 species